CUGCUUCCGAGGUUUUCAGUCUGAAUCACCGGGACAGCUAAUGAGAUGAAGAUGGACAAGUUGAAGAAACGUCACAGGAGCCCAAGAGGCUGGCCAGAGAGCCCAGGACUCAGUUCCUCUGUGGGAAGGCACACACACUCUUUGGUCAAGAAACUUGGUCAGGAGGUCAGAAACAUGGGCCCUGCCCGAGCAGCAAGUCACCAUGACCCAGGCCAACCUGAGGACAAAGGCCUCAACUAUUCCUUGAACCAUGCUGAUAAUCAGGACAUUCCGAAGAAACAAGUGAUGUGGAUUUCAGUGACGGCCUACCUCCAGAAGACUUCCUUCAGCCUGAUGUCUUCCUCAAGACCAGCCAACCCCGAACCAUGAGCUGAUGGGGCCACGUGCAUUUCACAGGUUACUGACUGGGUGGGCUGAAUGAUGGCCCCCAAAGACAGCCAGGUCCUAACCCCUGGAACCUGUGAAUAUUACCCUACAUGGCAAAACGGACUUUGCUGGUGUGACUGAAAGCCCUUGAGUGGGGAGAUUAUCCCGGAUUAUUCAGAUGGAUCUUAAAUGUAAUCACAAGGGUCCUUCUAAAAGAGAGGCAGAGGAAGAUUUUACUACAGAAGACAAACAAAGCCAUAUGACAAAGGAAGCAGACAGAGAGAGAGAUUUGGAAAUGCUAUGCUGCUGGCUUUGAAGAUGGGUAAGAGGCCAAGAGCCAAAGAAUGCAAACACUGCAGCUCUGGAUGCUAGAAAGGGCAA
rnacentral:lncRNA from 1 species